CCUACGUGAGGCAGCAGUAGGGAAUCUUCCACAAUGGGCGAAAGCCUGAUGGAGCAACGCCGCGUGGGUGAAGAAGGUCUUCGGAUCGUAAAACCCUGUUGUUAGAGAAGAAAGUGCGUGAGAGUAACUGUUCACGUUUCGACGGUAUCUAACCAGAAAGCCACGGCUAACUACGUGCCAGCAGCCGCGGUACUACGUAGGUGGCAAGCGUUAUCCGGAUUUAUUGGGCGUAACGGGAACGCAGGCGGUCUUUUAAGUCUGAUGUGAAAGCCUUCGGCUUAACCGGAGUAGUGCAUUGGAAACUGGGAGACUUGAGUGCAGAAGAGGAGAGUGGAACUCCAUGUGUAGCGGUGAAAUGCGUAGAUAUAUGGAAGAACACCAGUGGCGAAAGCGGCUCUCUGGUCUGUAACUGACGCUGAGGUUCGAAAGCGUGGGUAGCAAACAGGAUUAGAUACCCCGGUAGUC
rnacentral:rRNA from 1 species